ACAGUGUCUGGUGGGUAGUUUGACUGGGGCGGUCUCCUCCCAAAGAGUAACGGAGGAGCACGAAGGUUGGCUAAUCCUGGUCGGACAUCAGGAGGUUAGUGCAAUGGCAUAAGCCAGCUUGACUGCGAGCGUGACGGCGCGAGCAGGUGCGAAAGCAGGUCAUAGUGAUCCGGUGGUUCUGAAUGGAAGGGCCAUCGCUCAACGGAUAAAAGGUACUCCGGGGAUAACAGGCUGAUACCGCCCAAGAGUUCAUAUCGACGGCGGUGUUUGGCACCUCGAUGUCGGCUCAUCACAUCCUGGGGCUGAAGUAGGUCCCAAGGGUAUGGCUGUUCGCCAUUUAAAGUGGUACGCGAGCUGGGUUUAGAACGUCGUGAGACAGUUCGGUCCCUAUCUGCCGUGGGCGCUGGAAGAUUGAGGGGGGCUGCUCCUAGUACGAGAGGACCGGAGUGGACGCAUCACUGGUGUUCGGGUUGUCAUGCCAAUGGCACUGCCCGGUAGCUAAAUGCGGAAGAGAUAAGUGCUGAAAGCAUCUAAGCACGAAACUUGCCCCG
rnacentral:rRNA from 3 species